rnacentral:rRNA from 1 species
UGAGGAAUAUUGGACAAUGGGUGCAAGCCUGAUCCAGCCAUCCCGCGUGAAGGAUUAAGGUCCUAUGGAUUGUAAACUUCUUUUAUACAGGGAUAAACCUACUUACGUGUAAGUAGCUGAAGGUACUGUAUGAAUAAGCACCGGCUAACUCCGUGCCAGCAGCCGCGGUAAUACGGAGGGUGCAAGCGUUAUCCGGAUUUAUUGGGUUUAAAGGGUCCGUAGGCGGGCCUAUAAGUCAGUGGUGAAAUCUCACAGCUUAACUGUGAAACUGCCGUUGAUACUGUAGGUCUUGAGUAAAUUUGAAGUGGCUGGAAUAAGUAGUGUAGCGGUGAAAUGCAUAGAUAUUACUUAGAACACCAAUUGCGAAGGCAGGUCACUAAGAUUUAACUGACGCUGAGGGACGAAAGCGUGGGGAGCGAACAGG